rfam:Picea glauca, whole genome shotgun sequence.
AUCAAAUUAGCACAACAGAAGCGUGGUGGGCUCAUAACCCAUAGGUCCCAGGAUCAAAACUUGGCUCUGAUA